UACGUAGGGGGCGAGCGUUGUCCGGAUUUAUUGGGCGUAAAGAGCUCGUAGGCGGCUUGGCAAGUCGGGUGUGAAACCUCCAGGCUCAACCUGGAGACGCCACUCGAUACUGCCAUGGCUAGAGUCCGGUAGGGGACCAUGGAAUUCCUGGUGUAGCGGUGAAAUGCGCAGAUAUCAGGAGGAACACCGGUGGCGAAGGCGGUGGUCUGGGCCGGCACUGACGCUGAGGAGCGAAAGCGUGGGUAGCAAACAGG
rnacentral:rRNA from 1 species